rnacentral:ncRNA from 1 species
UUGAGAGGUACAGGCGAGAAGAAGAGAUAGCGAAAUCGUAGUCCAACGAACAGAACUCCGAUUAUAAGGCGUUUAUGGUGGGCAAGUUAAUUUAAGACAACGAAGCCCAAAAUAUAGCCGUAACUUGUGUGCAAAGGUAAACGCUACUGGGGAA